rnacentral:rRNA from 1 species
UACGGAGGGGGCUAGCGUUGUUCGGAAUUACUGGGCGUAAAGCGCACGUAGGCGGCUUUGUAAGUUAGAGGUGAAAGCCUGGGGCUCAACUCCGGAAUUGCCUUUAAGACUGCAUCGCUAGAAUUGUGGAGAGGUAAGUGGAAUUCCGAGUGUAGAGGUGAAAUUCGUAGAUAUUCGGAAGAACACCAGUGGCGAAGGCGACUUACUGGACACAUAUUGACGCUGAGGUGCGAAAGCGUGGGGAGCAAACAGG